AUUGAACGCUGGCGGCAUGCCUUACACAUGCAAGUCGAACGGCAGCACGGGUGCUUGCACCUGGUGGCGAGUGGCGAACGGGUGAGUAGUACAUCGGAACAUGUCCUGUAGUGGGGGAUAGCCCGGCGAAAGCCGGAUUAAUACCGCAUACGAUCUACGGAUGAAAGCGGGGGACCUUCGGGCCUCGCGCUAUAGGGUUGGCCGAUGGCUGAUUAGCUAGUUGGUGGGGUAAAGGCCUACCAAGGCGACGAUCAGUAGCUGGUCUGAGAGGACGACCAGCCACACUGGGACUGAGACACGGCCCAGACUCCUACGGGAGGCAGCAGUGGGGAAUUUUGGACAAUGGGCGAAAGCCUGAUCCAGCAAUGCCGCGUGUGUGAAGAAGGCCUUCGGGUUGUAAAGCACUUUUGUCCGGAAAGAAAUCCUUGGCCCUAAUACGGCCGGGGGAUGACGGUACCGGAAGAAUAAGCACCGGCUAACUACGUG
rnacentral:rRNA from 1 species